rnacentral:tRNA from 1 species
UAUUUUUAAACAAAAUAAUUACCCCAGUAUCUUCAAUACUAUGCUCUAAAUUUUAAGCUAUAAAAAU